AUUGAACGCUGGCGGCAGGCCUAACACAUGCAAGUCGAGCGGAUGAAGGGAGCUUGCUCCUGGAUUCAGCGGCGGACGGGUGAGUAAUGCCUAGGAAUCUGCCUGGUAGUGGGGGAUAACGUCCGGAAACGGGCGCUAAUACCGCAUACGUCCUGAGGGAGAAAGUGGGGGAUCUUCGGACCUCACGCUAUCAGAUGAGCCUAGGUCGGAUUAGCUAGUUGGUGGGGUAAAGGCCUACCAAGGCGACGAUCCGUAACUGGUCUGAGAGGAUGAUCAGUCACACUGGAACUGAGACACGGUCCAGACUCCUACGGGAGGCAGCAGUGGGGAAUAUUGGACAAUGGGCGAAAGCCUGAUCCAGCCAUGCCGCGUGUGUGAAGAAGGUCUUCGGAUUGUAAAGCGCUUUAAGUUGGGAGGAAGGGCAGUAAGUUAAUACCUUGAUGUUUUGACGUUACCAACAGAAUAAGCACCGGCUAACUUCGUG
rnacentral:rRNA from 1 species